UCUCCUGGGGGGUGGAUCUUGUGUGGGCGGAUUGCUGGGGGGGCUGAUGUGCUGGGGGCCGUGUCCUCAGAAGUCUCACCUGGGCGCCUUCCCUGAGGCCCUUUCCAUCCACAGCCAGGUGUGUGGGUCCCUCAAGCUGGCCCCAGGACUCCUACCUUGCUCGUGCCCCUCCCCACACACCGUUGCCUGCAUCACCUGAGGGGCAGCUGCCUGCAACAGCAGCAGAGCUGCUUGCAGGUCGCCUGGGCGCAGCGGCCCCACUGGCUGGCAGUGGGCGGCAGGGUUGGAUGGCUGUGGACCCCCAGUGCCAGGAAAAUGGCCUUUAAUUGCCAGGCCUCUUAGAAUUUGUCCUGAAAGCCCAUGGUCAGGUGGUUUGUGAUUCAGAAGCCGCUAUUGCCUCAGGUGCCGGGCGCUGGAGAAGAAGGGGCCCUGGGGGAGGAGGCGGUCAGAGGAGACAGGGCUUCCUGGCCUGGGGAGGAGGCUGCGUCUGGAGCUUGAAAGCCAGCCCCACGGUGUUCAAGAUACAGUUAAACAUUCAGAAGGAGGAGACUCCGGGGGCAAGGUGGUGCCCAGCCAGUGCCUGGGGCCAGGGCCACGCUGGUGGCACCCAGGCAGCGCUGCCUCCUGGCUCUCAAAUGGCUGUUCCUCUGCCCAGAAUGCUCUCCCACAGACACCCACCUCCCUCCGGGUCUGUGCACGUCACUCUGACAGAGGGGCCCCCUGACCACUCAUGAAAUAGUAACCCUAACCAUUGCUGUCUGCUCCCUGUCCUGCUUGAUUUUCCUCCAGGACAAAGACCACCACUUACAUGUUUAUCAUCUGUCUUCCAUCACUAGGAAAACAAGUUCCAGGAGGGAGGGAUUAGUAUUCCCAGCCCAUAGAACAGAGCACCGCAUAUCACAGGGGCUCAGUAAACAUCUGGCAGGAGUGCCUUUCCCCGGAGGCCUCAGACCCCGUCACCUGAGGUGAGAGCUGGAUCCAGGAGAAGCUCAGGUCUGACCCAGCAUUCAUUGCUGUAGGAAGGGCUGGUCUAGACUCCAAGGGAGCCGGGCGCGGUGGCUCACGCCUGUAAUCCCAGCACUUUGGGAGGCCGAGGCGGGCGGAUCACCAGGUCAGGAGAUCCAGACCAUCCUGGCUAACAUGGUGAAACCCUGUCUCUACCAAAAAAAUACAAAAAAAAUUAGCCGGGCGUGGUGGCAGGUGCCUGUAGUCCCAGCUACUCGGGAGGCUGAGACAGGAGAAUGGCGUGAACCCAGGAGGCGGAGCUUGCAGUGAGCUGAGAUAGCACCACUGCACUCCAUCCUAGGGGGACAGAGCGAGACUCUGUCUGAAAAAAAAGAAAAAAGAAGACUCCAAGGGAAAGCUGCCUGGGUCGUGACCUGGCACGUCCAAGUUGCUGCUCAGGCUUGCAAGGGGGUCCAGACCAGGCUGUGGAUGGGAAAUGGGAGAGUGGGGGAGGAUGGAGGCUGAGCAGUGGCUGGAUGUUGGGGUGCCCUUCUUGUCAGGCCUCUGAGCCCAAGCCAAGCCAUCGCAUCCCCUGUGACUUGCACGUAUACUCGCCUGAAGUAACUGAAGAUCCACAAAAGUAAAAAUAGCCUUAAGUGAUGACAUUUCACCAUUGUGAUUUGUUCCCGUCCCACCCUAACAGAUCAAUGUACUUUGUAAUCUCCCCCACCCUUAAGAAGGUUCUUUGUAAUUCUCCCUACCCUCAGAAUGUACUUUGUGAGAUUCACCCCCUGCCCCCAAAACAUUGCUCCUAACUCCACUGCCUAUCCCAAAACCUGUAAGAACUAAUGAUAAUCCACCACCCUUUGCUGACUCUCUUUUCCGACUCAGCCCACCUGCACCCAGGUGAAAUAAACAGCCAUGUUGCUCACACAAAGCCUGUUUGGUGGUCUCUUCACACGGAAGCGCAUGAAAUUUGGUGCCGUGACUCGGAUCAGGGGACCUCCCUUGGGAGAUUAAUCCCCUGUCCUCCUGCUCUUUGCUCUGUGAGAAAGAUCCACCUACGACCUCAGGUCCUCAUACCGACCAGCCCAAGAAACAUCUCACCAAUUUCAAAUCCGCUGCCAGGCAGGGAAGGGCCCCCUGUCCAGUGGACACAUGACCCACGUGACCGUACUUAUCAUUGGAGAUGACUCACACUCUUUACCCUGCCCCUUUUGCUUUGUAUCCAAUAAAUAACAGCACAGCCAGACAUUCAGGGCCUCUACCGCUCUCCGCGUCUUGGUGUUAGUGGUCCCCCGGGCCCAGCUGUCUUUUAUCUCUUUGUCUCGUGUCUUUAUUUCUACACUCUCUCAUCGCCACACAUGGGGAGAGACCCACUGACCCUGUGGGGCUGGACCCUACAUUCCACCUUCCAUUCCUCCUUCUUCUCCCUUAGCCUGUGUUCUUAAGAACUUAAAACCUCUUCAACUCACACCUGACCUAAAAUCUAAGCACCUUAUUUUCUUCUGCAAUGCCGCUUGACCCCAAUACAAACUCGACAGUAGUUCCAAAUAGGAAAAUGGCACUUUCAAUUUUUCCAUCCUACAAGAUCUAAAUAAUUCUUGUCGUAAAAUAGGCAAAUGGUCUGAGGUGCAUGACAUCCAGGCAUUCUUUUACACAUCAGUCCCUUCCUAGUCUCUGUGCCCAAUGCGACUCAUCCCAAAUCCUCCUUCUUUCCCUUCCACCUGUCCCCUCAGUCCCAACCCCAAGCGUCGCUGAGUCUUUCUAAUCUUCCUUUUCUACAGACCCAUCUGACCUCUCCCCUCCUCGCCAGGCCGAGCUCGGUCCCAAUUCUUCCUCAGCCUCCGCUCCUCCACCCUAUAAUCCUUUUAUCACCUCCCCUCCUCACACCCGGUCCGGCUUACACUUUUGUUCCAUGACUAGCCCUCCCCCACCUGCUCAGCAAUUUAUUCUUAAAAAGGUGGCUGGAGCUAAAGGCAUAGUCAAGGUUAAUGCUCCUUUUUUUUUUUUUUUAAAUCCCAAAUCAGAUAGCGUUUAGGCUCUUUUUCAUCAAAUAUAAAAAUCCAGCCCAGUUCAUGGCUCGUUUGGCAGCAACCCCGAGACGCUUUACAGCCCUAGACCCUAAAAGGUCAAAAAGCCGUCUUAUUCUCAAUAUACAUUUUAUUACCCAAUCUGCUCCCGACAUUAAAUAAAACUCCAAAAAUUAGAAUCUGGCCCUCAGACCCCACAAUAGGACUUAACCUCACCUUCAAGGUGUACAAUAAUAGAAAAAAGUUGCAAUUCCUUGCCUCCACUGUGAGACAAACCCCAGCCACAUCUCCAGCACACAAGAACUUCCAAACACCUGAACCGCAGUGGCCAGGCGUUCCUCCAGAACCUCCUCCCCCAGGAGCUUGCUACAAGUGCCAGAAAUCUGGCCACUGAGCCAAGGAAUGCCCACAGCCCAAGAUUCCUCCUAAGCCAUGUCCCAUCUGUGCGGGACCCCACUGGAAAUCGGACUGUUCAACUCACCUGGUAGCCACUCCCAGAGCCCCUGGAACUCUGGCCCAAGGCUCUCUGACUCCUUCCCAGAUCUCGGCUUAGCGGCUGAAGACUGACGCUGCCCGAUCACCUCGGAAGCCCCGUAGACCAUCACAGAUGCCGAGCUUCGGGUAACUCUCACAGUGGAAGACUCAGCCCACCUGCACCCAGGUGAAAUAAACAGCCACGUUGCUCACACAAAGCCUGUUUGGUGGUCUCUUCACACGGACGCGCAUGAAACUUCUAAGAGAGCCCUGUUGAGGGGCAGCCGGCAGCAGCCACGGGCACAGGGGUGGGUGCAAAGACACUGAGUUUUGGUUCCAGGGAGGAAGGGGGCCAGCUGCUGCCUACUUGGCAGAGGAGAGGUCACCCUGGGCAAUUUGGUGGUGCCUGGGGUGCACACUUCCCUAGAGGCAGCAGGAGGAGGAGCUGGAUACACCCUUCCCUGGGCUUGGAGGAGAGCACGUUCCCUCCCAGAUCCCACCUGGCAUCCAGGAGGGCCCGGCCUGGGGGCAGGGCACAUGAGGCCCUCCUGCCCUGGGACUGGGCAGCUCCCUGGGGCAUUCCCAGCCAGCAGCAUCAGGAAGGUUACAGGAGACCCAGACAUGCUGCUCCCUAGAGAGGGCUCCUGACAAAGAUAUUUUGUGUGGUCAAACUUUAGUUAACUUCCUGAAUCUUCUGGUAGGCCCAUUGGCCCAUUUCCUUGUAAAAUGCAGUUUUAGCAAAGAAUCUGGCUAAGUCAGUUUAGCAACAAACCCUCAUCCUGGAGAUCUGAUUGGGGUCCUCAUGCUCCACCACCCCACAGGUCUGUCUGAUUGCCCUGCCUGUCUCCAGCUAGAAUCCCCCAACCCCUGAUGCUCCUCAGUCAUUUUCCAUCCACUGAGCCCACCCUGCUCCUUGGCACCCAUGCCAAGCACCCAUGGCAAGCCCUGUUGCAUGGUCCCUGUACCUGUGGUGCUGGUCCUGAAUAAAGCCUUCCUCACCGAGAUUUAACAAGUGUCACGGAAUCAUCUUUUCUUUUUUCUUUUCUUUUCUGAGAGGGAGUCUUGCUCUGUCGCCCAGGCUGGAGUGCAGUGGUGCAAUCUCGGCUCACUGCAACCUCUGACUCCCAGGUUCAAGGCGAUUCUCCUGCCUCAGCCUCCCAAGCGGCUAGGACUACAGUUGCUUGCCACCACACCCAGCUAAUUUUUUUUUUUUUUUUGUAUUUUUAGUAGAGACGGGGUUUCACUGUGUUAGCCAGGAUGGUCUCCACCUCCUGACCUCGUGAUCCGCUCACCUGGGCCUCCCAAAGUGCUGGGAUGACAGGUGUGAGCCACCGCACCUGGCCAGAAUCAUCUUUUAAUAGCUUCCAAACAUGGAGGUCAAACAAGGACUUUCUGGGGAAGCAAGUGGCAGGCAGCAGCUAGGGGUGGGCUGAGCAUCCAGUGGACUGAAUGUGGGCAGGACCACCAGCAACCAGGCAGAGGGGCUGUUCUCUGGGCUGGGGUCAGGAGCCUCCUCUGGCCUCAGCCCAGGUUGUCAGACAUUUCCCUGCAGGGAUCCGGGUCCAGGACUCAGAGGUGCUGGGGGGCAGGAAUUCCUGGGUGGGCUGAGGCAAGGGCAGCACAGGGUGACCUGGGGCCCUGGGCCUGGUGGAGCUGAGGAGAGGGACAGGCCUGUGGUCGGGGGUCCUAGGUGGGAGGGAGAGCAGAGGGCAGAGGCUUUGCGGGUGGAAGACCCACCCUGGGGGGCGGGGGGCCCUGAAGGCGCAGGUCUGCGGUUUAGAUGGAGGUUGCGCUGGCUGGACCGCCUAGGGAAAAUGGGUCUGAUUGCAUGGAGCUGGGUGAGAAUGGCGGGAGGCCCUGCAGCGGCCGUGGAGAGAACAUGCGCUGG